rnacentral:rRNA from 1 species
AGAGUUUGAUCCUGGCUCAGAACGUACGCUGGCGGCACGCCUAACACAUGCAAGUCGAACGAAGUAGCAAUACUUAGUGGCAGACGGGUGAGUAACAUGUGGGUAUCUACCCUUUGGCCUGGAAUAACACGAGGAAACUUGUGCUAAUACCGGAUAAGUCUUUACGGAGAAAGCUUUAUGCACCAUUGGAUGAGCCCGCACUUGAUUAGUUUGUUGGUAGGGUAAUGGCCUACCAAGACUAUGAUCAAUAGCUGAUUUGAGAGGAUGAUCAGCCACAUUGGGACUGAGACACGGCCCAAACUCCUACGGGAGGCAGCAGUGGGGAAUCUUGCACAAUGGAGGAAACUCUGAUGCAGCGAUGCCGCGUGAGUGAAGAAGGCCUUUGGGUUGUAAAGCUCUUUCGUCGGGGAAGAAAAUGACUGUACCCGAAUAAGAAGGUCCGGCUAACUUCGUGCCAGCAGCCGCGGUAAUACGAAGGGACCUAGCGUAGUUCGGAAUUACUGGGCUUAAAGAGUUCGUAGGUGGUUGAAAAAGUUGGUGGUGAAAUCCCAGAGCUUAACUCUGGAACUGCCAUCAAAACUUUUCAGCUAGAGUAUGAUAGAGGAAAGCAGAAUUUCUAGUGUAGAGGUGAAAUUCGUAGAUAUUAGAAAGAAUACCAAUUGCGAAGGCAGCUUUCUGGAUCAUUACUGACACUGAGGAACGAAAGCAUGGGUAGCGAAGAGGAUUAGAUACCCUCGUAGUCCAUGCCGUAAACGAUGUGUGUUAGACGUUGGAAAUUUA